rnacentral:rRNA from 1 species
GUGGCGAACGGGUGAGUAACACGUGAGUAACCUGCCCUUGACUCUGGGAUAAGCGCUGGAAACGGCGUCUAAUACCGGAUACGAGCUUCCACCGCAUGGUGAGUUGCUGGAAAGAAUUUCGGUCAAGGAUGGACUCGCGGCCUAUCAGGUAGUUGGUGAGGUAACGGCUCACCAAGCCGACGACGGGUAGCCGGCCUGAGAGGGUGACCGGCCACACUGGGACUGAGACACGGCCCAGACUCCUACGGGAGGCAGCAGUGGGGAAUAUUGCACAAUGGGCGCAAGCCUGAUGCAGCAACGCCGCGUGAGGGACGAAGGCCUUCGGGUCGUAAACCUCUUUUAGCAGGGAAGAAGCGAAAGUGACGGUACCUGCAGAAAAAGCACCGGCUAACUACGUGCCAGCAGCCGCGGUAAUACGUAGGGUGCGAGCGUUAUCCGGAAUUAUUGGGCGUAAAGAGCUCGUAGGCGGUUUGUCACGUCUGCUGUGAAAACUGGAGGCUCAACCUUCAGCCUGCAGUGGGUACGGGCAGACUAGAGUGCGGUAGGGGAGAUUGGAAUUCCUGGUGUAGCGGUGGAAU